rnacentral:lncRNA from 1 species
GCAGCUCAUGCUGAUCGCUGUCCUCCUCCUCCCCCUCAGGCGGCGCUGGCGGCGGCCCUGGGACCCGCGGAAGCCGGCAUGCUGGAGAAGCUGGAGUUCGAGGACGAAGCAAGGUGUCAGGGAGCGCUAAUUGUUUGUGCUUGUCACCAUGCACUCGGAGGCAACCCCGAAUCAUACCCACAGUCCAGACCCUUUAAUCAUAGACUGGUGCCCUUAUCUGCGCCUGUGAAGAUAUGACCGCAGUAGAAGACUCAGAAAGUGGUGUUUACAUGCGAUUCAUGAGGUCACACAAGUGUUAUGACAUCGUUCCAACCAGUUCAAAGCUUGUUGUCUUUGAUACUACAUUACAAGUUAAAAAGGCCUUCUUUGCUUUGGUAGCCAACGGUGUCCGAGCAGCGCCACUGUGGGAGAGUAAAAAACAAAGUUUUGUAGGAAUGCUAACAAUUACAGAUUUCAUAAAUAUACUACAUAGAUACUAUAAAUCACCUAUGGUACAGAUUUAUGAAUUAGAGGAACAUAAAAUUGAAACAUGGAGGGAGCUUUAUUUACAAGAAACAUUUAAGCCUUUAGUGA